GGAAGGCUGGCCGAGCGGUUUAAGGCAGCAGUCUUGAAAACUGCCGAGGGUUUACGCCCUCCGUGGGUUCGAAUCCCACGCCUUCCACCA
rnacentral:tRNA from 1 species